ACUGGAUACCACAAGGAACUCAGCCUUAAGCGUGAGCCCUUCCUCAAGUGCUCAAAUAAAAAGAGCUGGAGUCCUUGUGACUCACAUACAGGGCUCGUCUGGCCUUGAAAUUCUGAAUUUUGAAAAGAGUUCAAGGUGAUGAUACCAAUGUUGCUGGUCCUGAGAACGAACUGUGAAGAGCAAGGGGCUAAGUCACAUGGAAGAUAUAGGGGAGCUGACGCCUCAGGAAUUUCCUCCUUGACUUCUGCAAGAGGUCACCUGGCAAAUCUAAGUCAGACGCUAGACAGCAAAUGGCUAUAGCUUGUUUAACUGGGUAAGUCCUAUCGUCUGUCUUCUAGCCUUCCUGCACAUGUUUCUCAGAUGAGUAGCCUCCGUGUGAUAGGACCAAGAAUGUUAUGGGCUUACAUGGCCCUAAAGUCCAUGCACUGGAGUCCUGGUCCCCAGUGCAGUCUGUAUUAGAGACAGGGUCUUCAACGAGGUAAGCGGGACUAAUUGAAGAUGGGAGAAUAGAGCCCUUACCUGGCAGAGAUGGAGCCUUGCAAGAAGAGGAGACACAGAGCUCUUACUCUGGCCUGUGAGGAGGCUACCACCUGUAAGCCAAAGAGGGAGCCCUUGCCAGAGCCCAGACAUGGUGGCCUGAUCUUGGACUUGAUGUUGUUCACUCUUCCAUCUGUAAAGCCUUAUCCAGCUCAUCAGCUUGGAAGGAGAUUGGUUCAUUUUAUCUGUGAGAUCCAGAGGGUCCAGUCUCUGGUCCCUUGGCCAUGUCACUUUGUGCCUGUGGCAUCACAGUACAUCAGAUUAGAGGCACAAGGUACAUGAAGAUGCUUCCUCUUGGUGUCCAGGAAUCAAAGAGAUAAGGGUAAUCCCCAAGAGGGCUCUCUACAGUGUGGUUCAGCUCCCUUCUGCACUUCCCCGGCAUGGCACAGGCCUUUAACACAUAAGUCUUUGGGAAGAGUAUUUGGGACCAAAGCUGUAGCAGCUUUCAAAGCAUCAAAACAUCAAAAACGGUUUCUGCCAUUUAAGCCACCCAGUGUGUUAGAGCAUCCUGAGAUCAUGGGUGGGUCCAAAGGUCUGGACGGCUAGCGCAGGGGAGCACAAGGGUGUGCCUCGGAGGCUGAGCACUAGUAACUGGUCCGUCUCUCUGGAGAUCACCAGCUUUGUCUUUUUCAUCUAGGAUUUCGUUUCUGAUGGACAGAGCGUGAGGACAGCCGCUCUGAUAAGGUGCAGUGUGUGUUUGAUUCUGGAGUUCCGGUAGGAACGUUUUACUUCAUCCUAGAAUAUGUCUGUCGAGUGGCACCUCCUUACAGUGACCUUUGGCCCCAGAAGUACAGUUUUAUGGAAGUUGGAGCCAGCAGUCUGUCUGGGCAUUUCUGAAGUUUCAGUAGCGCCCAUAAAACAGCCUCCCAGACUGCUGAUGUGGUCACCGGGGCCUCUGUCCCUGCAGAGUUAUUAGGAAGAGCUACUGCCUCUGAGACACCAGGAGAUGCACAAGCUCUGAUAAUUAGAAUGAAAUAAAAUCGAUGACUGGACGAACGUGCAGUUUACGAGCAAAGGCAACCUUUUGUUCUUUCCAAUUAGGCUCUCCCCCC
rnacentral:lncRNA from 1 species